CUUGCUCCCUGAUGUUAGCGGCGGACGGGUGAGUAACACGUGGGUAACCUGCCUGUAAGACUGGGAUAACUCCGGGAAACCGGGGCUAAUACCGGAUGGUUGUUUGAACCGCAUGGUUCAAACAUAAAAGGUGGCUUCGGCUACCACUUACAGAUGGACCCGCGGCGCAUUAGCUAGUUGGUGAGGUAANGGCUCACCAAGGCAACGAUGCGUAGCCGACCUGAGAGGGUGAUCGGCCACACUGGGACUGAGACACGGCCCAGACUCCUACGGGAGGCAGCAGUAGGGAAUCUUCCGCAAUGGACGAAAGUCUGACGGAGCAACGCCGCGUGAGUGAUGAAGGUUUUCGGAUCGUAAAGCUCUGUUGUUAGGGAAGAACAAGUACCGUUCGAAUAGGGCGGUACCUUGACGGUACCUAACCAGAAAGCCACGGCUAACUACGUGCCAGCAGCCGCGGUAAUACGUAGGUGGCAAGCGUUGUCCGGAAUUAUUGGGCGUAAAGGGCUCGCAGGCGGUUUCUUAAGUCUGAUGUGAAAGCCCCCGGCUCAACCGGGGAGGGUCAUUGGAAACUGGGGAACUUGAGUGCAGAAGAGGAGAGUGGAAUUCCACGUGUAGCGGUGAAAUGCGUAGAGAUGUGGAGGAACACCAGUGGCGAAGGCGACUCUCUGGUCUGUAACUGACGCUGAGGAGCGAAAGCGUGGGGAGCGAACAGGAUUAGAUACCCUGGUAGUCCACGC
rnacentral:rRNA from 1 species